UGUUGAGCUUGACUCUAGUCCGACUUUGUGAACUCACCUAAGAGGUGUAGAAUAAGUGGGAGCUUCGGCGUCGGUGAAAUACCACUACUCUUGGAGUGAGUUUACUCAUUACAUUGUGCAAGGCCGCGGUUCGCGCCGCUGGUUCUAGUGUUACGUCGGUUUCGUGCCGGCAACUUGCGUGUAAGACAAAGUCAGGUGGGGAGUUUGGCUGGGG
rnacentral:rRNA from 1 species